CCUUAUCCAUACCGAGCCCCUUCCCCAACGGCAUCCUGUCUGGAAAAGAAGGUUUGUGUUAGAAUCAGGUCAUUUCUCCAACGCCGCCGGAUCACCUGGCUUUACUGCUUUGGAUUCUAAGGGCUCAUCUGACCUUAACCAUCACGCUGCGAGGACUGCGGGCUGGAACUGUACCGUUUUAUAGGGAGGAAGCCAAGGCCCGGUGAGGAGCAAUGACUUGCCCAUCACCGCACAACCACUUAGGAGCAAAGCCUGCGUCCACCAGCGCCCUCGCCCUCGGAGCUCUGCCUCGGACUGGGCAGGCUGAAGCGAAGCAAGCAUUUGGUCUCAGAUCCAGGAAGCAGGCGCUGCAGGGGACGGAAGGGUCGGAGCUCACCCCGAGCGAGGCCAGCAGCUGGGAGGAGGAGGAGGAGGUGCUGGAGGCCAGCUCUGGGAGGAGACGUGGCAGGACUAUAGAAUGGUACCCUAAAUGGCAAGAGACUACAGGGCUGAUCAGAGAGGAUGAGAAACAAGGAAGGCUUCUGAAGGAGCUCUGGGCUGUCCCAGCUCCCAAAGUCAACACCGAGACCCCGGAUGUGUCCAGGGACAUCCUGACGAGGCCGAGGGGCUGAGGAGCCCUAGGGUGUUCCCAGGGAGAUUCCUGAAGCUGACUAGGAGCCAGUACAUUUGCCUGCUGUUUGAGCGUCCUCUGAUCCUUCCCCGCCUUCCCCCCUGUUGCCAUGGAGACCACGAAUGGGACCGAGACCUGGUAUGAGAGCCUGCACGCUGUGCUGAAGGCUCUCAAUGCCACUCUUCACAGCAACUUGCUCUGCCGGCCGGGACCAGACCACCUGACUGAGGAGCGGCGGGCCGGCCUACCUGGGCGGGAUGACAACUCCUACAUGUACAUUCUCUUUGUCAUGUUCCUCUUUGCUGCCACCGUGGGCAGCCUCAUCCUGGGGUACACCCGCUCCCGCAAAGUGGACAAGCGCAGCGACCCCUAUCAUGUCUACAUCAAGAACCGCGUGUCUAUGAUCUGAGGCUAGGAGGCCGGGGAAGCGCGAGAGACCGGAGGAUUCCCUUCCGCGGCCUCCAGAACUCAGCUGUGGGCCACAUCGGGCCUCAGUGUCCUCAUCUGGAAGACCGACAAGAAGCAGCGCUAAGGGAAGUCGACAGUGGGGUCGGAGGAGAGGGUCUGGCGUAUUUGGGCCCUGCGGAUAAGGAUUUUGUCUAGCAAAGAUCGACUUUGUAGACAGUGGAAGCCCUAUGAACAAAUAUAUAGAAGUAGCAGCAUAUGAGUCACCAAUGAGUCAUCUAGUGGCUGGAGUAUUGGGGGCUGGGCUGGAGGAAGGAGAAGAGGAAGUGGUAGGCAGAGGGAAAUGAGACGGAAGAUGCCCGGAGGACACAUUUUUUGAUGUGUUACCUUUAACGACCAUGAGAAGCAGCAGCGACUAUCCCAUAUGCCAGACAGGAAAUCUAAGUUAUUUGUAUUUGUUCAUAUUUGAUGUUUUUCAGCCCAUUUGACAUUUGUGAUUUUACUCCCUGUGAGGGAAGCAGGGCAAGGGCCGCUCUGCCCGUGUGGGCCAGGGCAGUGCCAUGAUGAGAACCCAGUCUCCUUGCCUCGUGUUUUUCAAAACUCUGCCACCAGGCGCGGAUCUAGGCCUGAAAACUAUGCAAUUCUGAGUGCCUUCCUUAAGAGAAAGAAUUCAAAAAUACCUUAUGUUUGCAAAUAUUACAAAAACACAUCACCAUGUUAAUACAUUGUUAGGGCCCCUCCUAAGACCUUCAGAAGGAGUCAUGUGAGCACAGGGCCCUGAAUGUUAAGGCUCAGCUCCACCGUUCCUGUGUCUCUCCAGCCACGUCCCACUGCCCUUCCAGCCACAUCUCCAGUCCUGGGGACUCCACUACCUCUAAGGAAGCGUCUAACCUGUUGGCUGAAUUGGUGCGAGAUUUUCUGACACCAAGUUAAAAUCUGCUUCUGGAAGCUUAGUAUCACACCGAGACGAUCAUCAUAUUCAAAGAAGCAGAGCGUGAAAAGGCAGGUACCUGAUUCAGUGGAAAGAGAAGCAGCCCCGAUUCUCCCACGAGCGUGGUGUAUGAACUGGCUAGACCCUUCUCUUUCUCCUGUCCUGCAUCAGCACUGUGAAAUAGUUAGAAAGUUGAAAUAGCUGAACGUCCCUAAGGGCUCAGCCAGAUCUGACUUUCUGGGCUUCCCGUACAUUGAGUUGAACCACAUAAAACUGCUGUGCUUAUAGGUCGAAAACAGCUAUCAAUAGUUUCCCAUCGUUCAAUACAUGAAAUGUGGCAGGUGAAUACUUUACAAACUCCAAGCCCCAGGCUGGAACCUCCCACCGUUCUGCUUGAUUUCUAUAUUUAAGGGGGUUCUACGGGGUCUCCAUAGGGCCCUAUUGGAACACAUAUUUGUGUGUAGCAAAAACUCUGAAAGAAUAUUUUGAAAGCACUUACCUCUAAAGAGAAGGAUUAUGGGUGAUUUUUCCCUUUCUACUUUAAAAAUUUAUGUAAUAUUUGAUUUAUGUGACCAUAGAUAUGUUUCUUCUAUAAUAAGGGCGGGAAAGCUACUUCUAUCUUGAAAAAAUAAACAUAAAUGCUUGUGUGUGU